AGUUUGAUCCUGGCUCAGAUUGAACGCUGGCGGCAUGCCUUACACAUGCAAGUCGAACGGCAGCACGGAGCUUGCUCUGGUGGCGAGUGGCGAACGGGUGAGUAAUAUAUCGGAACGUACCCUAGAGUGGGGGAUAACGUAGCGAAAGUUACGCUAAUACCGCAUACGAUCUAAGGAUGAAAGUGGGGGAUCGCAAGACCUCAUGCUCGUGGAGCGGCCGAUAUCUGAUUAGCUAGUUGGUAGGGUAAAAGCCUACCAAGGCAUCGAUCAGUAGCUGGUCUGAGAGGACGACCAGCCACACUGGAACUGAGACACGGUCCAGACUCCUACGGGAGGCAGCAGUGGGGAAUUUUGGACAAUGGGCGAAAGCCUGAUCCAGCAAUGCCGCGUGAGUGAAGAAGGCCUUCGGGUUGUAAAGCUCUUUUGUCAGGGAAGAAACGGUGAGAGCUAAUAUCUCUUGCUAAUGACGGUACCUGAAGAAUAAGCACCGGCUAACUACGUGCCAGCAGCCGCGGUAAUACGUAGGGUGCAAGCGUUAAUCGGAAUUACUGGGCGUAAAGCGUGCGCAGGCGGUUUUGUAAGUCUGAUGUGAAAUCCCCGGGCUCAACCUGGGAAUUGCAUUGGAGACUGCAAG
rnacentral:rRNA from 1 species